rfam:TPA: Bos taurus chromosome 5, whole genome shotgun sequence.
UCCCUGGCGGUCUAGUGGUUAAGACUCUGCACUUCUACUGCAGGGACCAUAGGUUCAAUCCCUGGUCAGGGAA